UUUUUUUUUUUAAAUACAUAUCUCACGAAACUAACCAUUGGUUUAUUUUUCCAUGUUUUUAGAUAUCAAAAUACAUACUCAUGAAACUUGAGUAGGUAAGCUACAGAUAGCCAUCCUAAUCCCUUAAGUCUAAUCCACUGAGAUGAACACACAGGAGAAAAAUUUGAUAACCAAAUGAAUGUAUUUCUGAGUUUUAUGUAAGUUCCUUUAAUGUGGAUUGAUCCUCGUGUGACGUCAUAGGUUUUUGCACAAAUCUUUAUUAAAUCAAACUGCGCAUGAUAGAAAUGUAUCUUUCAGAGGAAUUUUAUUCACUGGAUAAAAUGAAAAAUUUAGUAAACUAUUGAUACUAGUGAAAAAGUAAUAUUUUCCAUAGAUACUAAAUCAAUUAUUUAUAAUUUUAAAAAUGUAUGCUGGCAUUUUCGCUACUGUAUGUCUAUUAUUAGUAUACAUGUACAAUGUUUCCCUAACAUCCACAAUUAAUUUAUACAUCGUUUAUAAAUAAGCACAGUUUUUCUAAACUGUUGAUGAUUAGAAUUUGUCAAUCCAUUUUAAUAAGUUUAUUUCUAUUUCAUUAUACUGUGUGAUUUUCUUAUGUUGACCGAUUCUUGUAUUUGAAUGUCUGACAUCUUUAAAAAAGCCUUUAAAAAGGUGGCAACAUACACAUUUUCUUUAGUUAAUGAUUAAAGUAAACUGCACUGAAUGGAAAUUGAUACAGUUUCUCCACUUCAAACAAUUAAAAUUGAUAAGUCACAUGAGGGUGGAAUUACCUUAAGGUAUCUGAUGCCUAAUUAGCCUCCCAAAAGUCUUCAUUACAGGAAAAUGGAUAUCAAAAACACUGAUUUUAUAUCAACGGGCAUCAUUAUAUAAAAUAUAGAUCGAUCUGAACAUUCUUGCUUAUAGACCACAAUGCUCACCUAAGUGUUAUUGAAUAAGCUAUGCUAUUCUUCAGAGGAUUUUUAAUUUUUUUUUUUUUUUUUUUUUUUUAACACUAUUCCCAUGAUUUUUUUUAAAAUCCGAUUAUUAGUUUUAUAUAAUGAGUAAACAUCAUUUUAGACUCGAUCGAGUCGCUUCAAAACUGUAUGACCACACCCAUCGGGUAUCUGAACAUAAUCAACAAUAUUAUAUGGGGUAAGUGACUUGUACCAUAGUUUACUAUUAUUCAUUAUAUUUUAUUAUAGCUUUCGGAAGCGCGGUCGCCUGUUCAUAAUAUGGUGCCGAUUUUUUGUCUUUACACUUUGAACACUAUAUAUUUCUAUUGACUUCCUAUCACCAAAAGUCCUUAGUGGACAUAUAUAGUGUUUAUUGUUAUAAAAUAAAAGUGCUGAGUAGCUGAGUACUCAUUUGUUGAGCACUCAUUUCACCUUUUAAGGCGGGAGAUUUUACUCACCCGUUGAGUAAUAUUUUUUUUUAAAGUAACACAUUUUGUAUAUAGUUUGUUGAUCUUAGUUGAUUAUUUUGAUAGUGAUUUUUAUUAGUGGUUAAUUAGUUAAGUAAUUUUAAGGGUAAUCAUUUUAUUUUCACGAGAGGAACUCGUUUCGACGUAUUUGUAUAUUUUGGCAGGCGAUUAUUAGUUUUAUAUAAUGAGUAAACAUCAUUUUAGAGUCUCAGUCUCAGUUUAGUAACUGAGGGAUCCUGUUUGCGAAAGAGAACACGUUACAAAAGAAACAGGACAAGUCUGAUUGGCCGCCGCUGUUCUCUCGAACACGUUCUUAUCACGUGACUGGGUCUUUUAUAAAAUCUUCAUAAAUGAUACCCGUAUUUCUACUUAGGCUACACGUGUUUCUCGACUUGUUCGCACACAUGGAGGAGAAUAGGGAAAUAGAAAGUCUUUGAUACGAAACUAUUGACGUUAUCUUGUCUCAAGCUACAAAUGAAAUUGAGUGCGAAUAUUUAUUUGGAGAACUUAGUCCGAGUCAGUUAUCCGUGUUUAAUGUGGACACUAGGAAUGAGAGUACCAAAUCCCCGUAUGCGUAACCCGGCCGCAGUAUACCCAAGAUUGAGCGGAGGUAUAAAUGUCUAGGUGUUGCGUGAUUGGCUAAUAUCAAGAGUGAAAUUAUUUGGAAUUGAAAGAAAUAUUAUAGAGGUUCAAAUUAAUUGUGAGGAUGAAAAAUUAUCGCACAAAAUCGAGAAAUGACUGAGGAAAUUACCAUGGUAGGGGUGUGCUUAAAAUGAAGUGUUUAAUUUACUGCAGAUUGCUAGAUGUUGUAAAAAAGUACAAAUAUGGCCUAUGAAAGGCACGGGACUCUAUAUAUUUUUUGUCGUUUUUUUUAUCAACACUUGGAAUGAACUUUGAAAUGUUUGCGGUUAUUUGUUUAAAAUUGAAAUAGUUAAUUAGUGAGAGGGCCAAAGGUUAGCAUUGAGGUCUAUGGGAAAUGAAUUGGUACUCUGUUCCCACUAGCCUAUAGGUCACGCAAAAUGUUUGACUUCCCACUUUGUCUCGUAGAACACAUCGUCGGUUACCCACGGGUGCUUCUAUUCGAUUAUCUCCAUCAUCACGGAGCGUGAGUGGACUCAAAACCGUGGUUUGCGACGAUGCGUAGAACACUGCAUUGACAAACGUGAGGUGAACUAUCUGGACACAAUCUCUACCCAGAGUUGUCGUUCCUUGCUCUCACUUAACCUCUGUUAACGUCUCAAAAUAAGCAAUGUUAUUCCACGUGUAAAUCCACUUUUUUUUUUUUAACGGCUAAUAAAACUAAGAGCUAUUUUAUAAAAUAUAGGGCAAGCAACUAUUUGUAUAUUUUUUCCCAUUACUAUAUAUUCAUGAACCUAUGUAUAGAUAACCCACACUUUUAACAAAAGAAAGUACGCCAAACUAUGGUACAACUUGGGACAAUGAAUGCGACGUAGGUCAAAAUAACCCCACGAGUAGGUAUACUACAACUACACCGAAAAAAGACGUUCGGUGGCUCUAGCAGAGUUUUAAGUGGGAUUGUAAAACGUAUGGUCACGUUAAAACCUGUAAUAAUUAUAUACAUCCUUAAUAAAAUAGCCUAAUACUAAAUAUCUUGAGACUUUGGUCUCCAAACCGCGGUGCUUGCUCUCGUGUUGGAGAUACAUGUAUAGGCCUAAUACACGCAUCAGUUAGUAUCGUUAGGAUAAACUAAAUAUAUAAAGCACGUCUUUGAACAUACUGAUAUAACAGAUAUUUUCCACUUCUCAACCAUUUACCUACCUUGUUUUCCUACUAGAUACAACUUGCGAUUUUCCCCCAACCUAAACCGAAAGUGAAAAUUGUCUUCGC